CCUACGGGUGGCAGCAGUGGGGAAUAUUGGACAAUGGGGGGAACCCUGAUCCAGCCAUGCCGCGUGUGUGAAGAAGGCCUUAUGGUUGUAAAGCACUUUAAGCGAGGAGGAGGCUACUUUAGUUAAUACCUAGAGAUAGUGGACGUUACUCGCAGAAUAAGCACCGGCUAACUCUGUGCCAGCAGCCGCGGUAAUACAGAGGGUGCGAGCGUUAAUCGGAUUUACUGGGCGUAAAGCGUGCGUAGGCGGCUUAUUAAGUCGGAUGUGAAAUCCCCGAGCUUAACUUGGGAAUUGCAUUCGAUACUGGUGAGCUAGAGUAUGGGAGAGGAUGGUAGAAUUCCAGGUGUAGCGGUGAAAUGCGUAGAGAUCUGGAGGAAUACCGAUGGCGAAGGCAGCCAUCUGGCCUAAUACUGACGCUGAGGUACGAAAGCAUGGGGAGCAAACAGGAUUAGAUACCCCCGUAGUC
rnacentral:rRNA from 1 species